UGGGGGACAAUCACCAGGGUUAUUCACCACGAUCGAACCACCAGCGGAUGGAAAUUCGGGUGGACCGCCUCCAGGAAGUGAGCAACCUGGGGGACAACCACCAGGGUUAUUCACCACGAUCGAACCACCAGAGGAUGGAAAUUCUGGUGGACCGCCUCCAGGAAGUGAGCAACCUGGGGGACAACCACCAGGGUUAUUCACCACGAUCGAACCACCAGAGGAUGGAAAUUCUGGUGGACCGCCUCCAGGAAGUGAGCAACCUGGGGGACAACCAACAGGGCUAUUCACCACGAUCGAACCACCAGUGGCUGGCCAAACAGUGGAGUUGCUCCCAGUCUCAGCCGAUGCCACAGAAACAGGAAUCUUUGUUUCUGAUUCAAUGAAUUUACUCAGUACUUCUGAAGGAAAACAUUCAAGGCCGGAUUCUUUAGACAAAUCAUUAACUACGAUAGUAUCACCAGAGGAUGGACAACCUGGAUUACCUGGGGGAUCCCCAUCAAUCGCAGUUAAUCCUACGGAAAGAGGAAUCCAUCCGUCCGAUGUAUUUCAGUUACUCACUACGUCUGAAGAAAGACGUACGACAACGGAUUCUUUAGAGUCAUCAUUCACCACCAACGAACCAACAGAGGAUGGGAAAACUGGAGGACAUGCACCAGGGGGCGGCCCACCAGGAGGAUCACCACUGGAGAAAACAACCGCUGAAAUUUCGACAAUUUCGCAAAUGCAAAGCACAAUCAAACCACACAACAAUUAUGGAACAACAAAUAGAUAUAAACUUAGACCACCACUCAGGAUUUGUUAUGAUGUCAAAUAUAGACAUAAACGUACGUACAUAAACAGCAUUAGACUCGAUUUUUGCUUAAAUGAUUAUAUAAUUUCAGCGCAAUGUCAAAGAAAAAACAGAAGGUUCACGGUUUCCAAACGUUGCAGUAUCUUGUAAAGAAGAUCACAUAUGUCAUCAUCCCUCAGUCGAUACCAGAAGGCAGCAACUCGCUUGGGAACUGGAUGUAAAGGCGCCUCGUCCAUCUUGGAAUACAUUUGUUCAAAAAUGUCAAUUGCAGCAACAUGUUUUAUUA